UGGACUUUGCCCAAUGGUCGCAAGCCUAUGCAGCCAUGCGGGUGUGGAAGAGGCUCUGGGUUGUAAAGCAACUUGCAGUGUGAGGAAGUAGUGUCGUAAUAGCGGCAAUACUGACGGUUAGCGACAAGAAGAAGCACCGGCUAACUCCGUGCCAGCAGCCGCGGUAAUUACGAGGGUGCGAGCGUUAAUCGGAAUUACUGGGCGUAAAGCGCAUGCAGGUGGUUUGUUAAGUCAGAUGUGAAAGCCCGGGGCUCAACCUCGGAAUAGCAUUUGAAACUGGCAGACUAGAGUACUGUAGAGGGGGGUAGAAUUUCAGGUGUAGCGGUGAAAUGCGUAGAGAUCUGAAGGAAUACCGGUGGCGAAGGCGGCCCCCUGGACAGAUACUGACACUCAGAUGCGAAAGCGUGGGGAGCAAACAGGAUUAGAUACCCUGGUAGUCCACGCCGUAAACGAUGUCUACUUGGAGGUUGUGGCCUUGAGCCGUGGCUUUUGGAGCUAACGCGUUAAGUAGACCGCCUGGGGAGUACGGUCGCAAGAUUAAAACUCAAAUGAAUUGACGGGGGCCCGCACAAGCGGUGGAGCAUGUGGUUUAAUUUGAUGCAACGCGAAGAACCUUACCUACUCUUGACAUCCAGAGAACUUUCCAGAGAUGGAUUGGUGCCUUCGGGAACUUUGAGACAGGUGCUGCAUGGCUGUCGUCAGCUCGUGUUGUGAAAUGUUGGGUUAAGUCCCGCAACGAGCGCAACCCUUAUCCUUGUUUGCCAGCGAGUAAUGUCGGGAACUCCAGGGAGACUGCCGGUGAUAAACCGGAGGAAGGUGGGGACGACGUCAAGUCAUCAUGGCCCUUACGAGUAGGGCUACACACGUGCUACAAUGGCGCAUACAGAGGGCGGCCAACUUGCGAAAGUGAGCGAAUCCCAAAAAGUGCGUCGUAGUCCGGAUUGGAGUCUGCAACUCGACUCCAUGAAGUCGGAAUCGCUAGUAAUCGUGGAUCAGAAUGCCACGGUGAAUACGUUCCCGGGCCUUGUACACACCCCCCGUCACACCAACGAGGGCGCUGCAAAAUAAGACCCGGUCUCAGUAAGUGGUAACAAGGUAACCGUAGAGUUACCUUCCC
rnacentral:rRNA from 1 species